UAAGGAAAUUGUGCCUGUUGCACAUCGAUAUUAUUGGUCUUGAUUCUUAAGGUGGCUUGGCUAAACUUUCAACGGUUAAACUCUAUUUAAUAAAUAGAUAACAUAACAUUUCGCUAAUGAUCUUGCAUUCUUGACUAAAUAUUUUCAGGCAACUUUAUUUGAAGUUUUUGUGGGCACUGAUUUGCAGAGUGCUCGUGACCAACAGAUAAAAUGGCCCAAUCCAUAUUGCAAAUUUGAAAGUCUUCCAACACCAUCCAAAACCAAGGAAUUUCUAUUUGCAAGUCUAAUUAGGUAGAAAACCUUUCUGAAAAGUUUAAGAGCCAUUGUUAAUUUCAAUUGACCCAUUCCAAUCCCCAGCAACGUAAACCUGCAAAAGGAAAGGCGCAUAAAACUUG